rnacentral:rRNA from 1 species
AGAGUUUGAUCCUGGCUCAGGAUGAACGCUAGCGGCAGGCUUAACACAUGCAAGUCGAGGGGCAGCGGGGAGGAAGCUUGCUUUCUCCGCCGGCGACCGGCGCACGGGUGAGUAACACGUAUGCAACCUGCCCCUGUCAGGGGGACAACCCGCCGAAAGGCGGGCUAAACCCGCGUACAUGCCACCGGGGCAUCCCGGAGGCAGGAAAGGCUUCGGCCGGACAGGGAUGGGCAUGCGGCGCAUUAGGCAGUAGGCGGGGUAACGGCCCACCUAACCGACGAUGCGUAGGGGUUCUGAGAGGAAGGUCCCCCACACUGGUACUGAGACACGGACCAGACUCCUACGGGAGGCAGCAGUGAGGAAUAUUGGUCAAUGGUCGGGAGACUGAACCAGCCAAGCCGCGUGAGGGAUGAAGGUACAGAGUAUCGUAAACCUCUUUUGUCAGGGAACAAAGGCGGGGACGCGUCCCCGGAUGAGUGUACCUGAAGAAAAAGCAUCGGCUAACUCCGUGCCAGCAGCCGCGGUAAUACGGAGGAUGCGAGCGUUAUCCGGAUUUAUUGGGUUUAAGGGGUGCGCAGGCGGUCUAUUAAGUCAGCGGUCAAAGCCCGGGGCUCAACCCCGGCCCGCCGUUGAAACUGGCAGUCUCGAGUUGGAGAGAAGUAUGCGGAAUGCGCGGUGUAGCGGUGAAAUGCAUAGAUAUCGCGCAGAACUCCGAUUGCGAAGGCAGCAUGCCGGCUCCACACUGACGCUGAGGCGCGAAAGCGUGGGUAUCGAACAGGAUUAGAUACCCUGGUAGUCCACGCAGUAAACGAUGAAUGCUGGCUGUCCGGAGGGACUGACCCCUGGGUGGCGAAGCGAAAGCGAUAAGCAUUCCACCUGGGGAGUACGCCGGCAACGGUGAAACUCAAAGGAAUUGACGGGGGCCCGCACAAGCGGAGGAACAUGUGGUUUAAUUCGAUGAUACGCGAGGAACCUUACCCGGGCUCAAACGGGGAGUGACUCAGGCAGAGACGCCUGUUUCCCACGGGACACUCCCCGAGGUGCUGCAUGGUUGUCGUCAGCUCGUGCCGUGAGGUGUCGGCUUAAGUGCCAUAACGAGCGCAACCCCCGCGUGCAGUUGCUAACAGAUAACGCUGAGGACUCUGCACGGACUGCCGGCGCAAGCCGCGAGGAAGGCGGGGAUGACGUCAAAUCAGCACGGCCCUUACGUCCGGGGCGACACACGUGUUACAAUGGGUGGUACAGCGGGAAGCCAGGCGGCGACGCCGAGCGGAACCCGAAAUCCACUCUCAGUUCGGAUCGGAGUCUGCAACCCGACUCCGUGAAGCUGGAUUCGCUAGUAAUCGCGCAUCAGCCAUGGCGCGGUGAAUACGUUCCCGGGCCUUGUACUCACCGCCCGUCA